GAUGAACGCUGGCGGCGUGCCUAAUACAUGCAAGUCGAGCGAACAGACGAGGAGCUUGCUCCUCUGACGUUAGCGACGGACGGGUGAGUAACACGUGGAUAACCUACCUAUAAGACUGGGAUAACUUCGGGAAACCGGAGCUAAUACCGGAUAAUAUAUUGAACCGCAUGGUUCAAUAGUGAAAGACGGUUUUGCUGUCACUUAUAGAUGGAUCCGCGCCGCAUUAGCUAGUUGGUAAGGUAACGGCUUACCAAGGCAACGAUGCGUAGCCGACCUGAGAGGGUGAUCGGCCACACUGGAACUGAGACACGGUCCAGACUCCUACGGGAGGCAGCAGUAGGGAAUCUUCCGCAAUGGGCGAAAGCUUGACGGAGCAACGCCGCGUGAGUGAUGAAGGUCUUCGGAUCGUAAAACUCUGUUAUUAGGGAAGAACAAAUGUGUAAGUAACUAUGCACGUCUUGACGGUACCUAAUCAGAAAGCCACGGCUAACUACGUG
rnacentral:rRNA from 1 species